ACACCAGUUAAAUUUAAAAUUGAUACUGGAGCAGAUUUAAACAUCAUGGAGAAAGAGACAUUCGACAUGUUAGUCCCUGAAAAGAAACUUGUGCAGUCCAAUAUCCCCCAAUGAAUAGCCCUGGUGGUCAGCUAAACUGUGUUGGAAAAUUCCAGGCAAAUACAAAGUACAAAGGAAAGUACUAUUCAUUUCCAGUGUUUGUGGUCCACAGCCAGACGUCUAAUAACCUGCUAGGCAAAGAGACAGCAUGCGCAAUGGGACUAGUGAAAUGCAUUGAGGAAGUGCACAAUGCAUUUGGCGAGCAUGGAACUCUUAAGACAGAGUCAGUUAAAAUAAAACUCAAAGAUAAAGCAGAACCGUAUGCAGUUCACAUAGCUCGUUGAGUCCCUCUGCCGCUUUUGGGUAAGGUAAAAGAGGAAUUGCAGCGCAUGGAGAAAAACAAGAUAAUUGAAAAGGUAACUGACCCAACAGACUGGUGCGCACCAAUGGUGCCUGUCCCAAGAAAAAAUGGCCAAGUGCGCAUCUGUGUGGAUUUGAAAAAGCUAAAUGAGGCGGUGAAGAGAGAAAGAUUUGUCCUCCCGACUGCCAAGGAAAUCACUGCAAAACUGUGUGGCGCAACCACGUUUACGUCACUUGACUUGGAUCAUCAGGAUGCUUGGGAACACCGGCUGUCGUUACUGGUGACGGCGCGACUCCAAGAUCCUAUGUCAUCGAGACGCACAAGGGGGCGACUCUGAGACGCAACCGUCGCCACCUCCUGUGUGUGCCUGCUUCUUCUGGUGAUACUCCACCCCCACAGUUUCAACAUCCUCAUCCGGAAGCUAAUGUCCAACGGGCUGAAACGCCACCAGACACCUUGGCUACUCCCAUAACGAGCUUGCCACAAACGCAAGAUGGACAGCUAUUCACGCGGUCCGGCAGGCUGAGUAAACCAGCGAACAGACUGAAUCUGUGAGGGUGUACGAAGAACGCUGCCCAAACAGAUCAAAAUGUGUUGUGGAAAAAAAAAAAAAGAAAAAAAAAGUU